rnacentral:piRNA from 1 species
CUGGGAGAACUUCCUUUGUUAUGCUUCAGC